UUUAACACGAGUUGGUGUUGCAACACCCUAUCAAAACAAGGAAAUAAAAUAUGACAUGGUUUCCCUUGGGAUUGCGUCACGCUGCGUGACUGCAAAGCCACAACGCCGGCUUUGUCAGUUUUAGAGGAAAGGGAAGAUCUGCCUUUAUGUCAUGUGUCAUCUCCUUCAUUAGUCCUCUCGCAGCCCGAUUUAACUAUCACGUAUUCCGUAUCGCCAUGGCAAUCGCACAAAUGUCAGCACGGCCCAGGGAGCGUGACACAGGCUAUGCGCCAGUCAGCGUGACACAGGCGGGCAAUAAACAAUUACAUCGGACCUUAGUGAACCAAGGGGGCCUCUUCUCAAACAAACAGUGGUGUUAAAAAUAAUCUAAGAGACUGGGGCACUGGCCUUGGCUCCAGGGUCUCUGUGAAGAAACUAAACAGACAGACGGGGUAAGAGAGAGAGGGCAGCACAGAGAAGGGCAACAAGCUGUGAUGCAGAUUCAAGCACCUGAUGACAAACUCUCCCAUCUGCCCAUUUUCAGACGACGAGUGUUGUGGAGGGACGUUUGAUCACUUAAAGGAAAACUCCGGCAAUUAUUCACAUAGAUUUCUCGAGGUCACCAAGUACUGUCGGUACGAAAAUAAAAAAAACGGUGUUUCCUAGCCCAA